GCCUGGGUGGCUCAGUCGGUUGAGCGUCCGACUUCGGCUCAGGUCGUGAUUUUGCAGUCUGUGAGGUUGAGCCCCACCUCGGGCU
rnacentral:tRNA from 1 species